rnacentral:rRNA from 1 species
UGCAGUCGAGCGAACAGACAAGGAGCUUGCUCCUUUGACGUUAGCGGCGGACGGGUGAGUAACACGUGGGUAACCUACCUAUAAGACUGGGAUAACUUCGGGAAACCGGAGCUAAUACCGGAUAAUAUUUCGAACCGCAGGGUUCUAUAGUGAAAGAUGGUUUUGCUAUCACUUAUAGAUGGACCCUCGCCGUAGUAGCUAGUUGGUAAGGUAACGGCUUACCAAGGCGACUAUACGUAGCCGACCUGAGAGGGUGAUCGGCCACACUGGAACUGAGACACGGUCCAGACUCCUACGGGAGGCAGCAGUAGGGAAUCUUCCGCAAUGGGCGAAAGCCUGACGGAGCAACGCCGCGUGAGUGAUGAAGGUCUUCUGAUCGUAAAACUCUGUUAUUAGGGAAGAACAUACGUGUAAGUAACUAUGCACGUCUUGACGGUACCUAAUCAGAAAGCCACGGCUAACUACGUGCCAGCAGCCGCGGUAAUACCUAUGUGGCAAGCGUUAUCCGGAAUUAUUGGGCGUAAAGCGCGCGUAGGCCGUAUUUUAAGUCUGAUGUGAAAGCCCACGGCUCAACCGUGGAGGGUCAUUGCAAACUGAAAAACUUGAAUGCAGAAGAUGAAAGUGGAAUUCCAUGUGUAGCGGUGAAAUGCGCAGAGAUAUGGAGGAACACCAGUGGCGAAGGCGACUUUCUGGUCUGUAACUGACGCUGAUGUGCGAAAGCGUGGGGAUCAAACAGGAUUAGAUACCCUGGUAGUCCACGCCGUAAACGAUGAGUGCUAAGUGUUAGGGGGUUUCCGCCCCUUAGUGCUGCAGCUAACGCAUUAGGCACUCCGCCUGGGGAGUACGACCGUCAGGUUGAAACUCAGAGGAAUUGACGGGGACCCGCACAAGCGGUGGAGCAUGUGGUUUAAUUCGAAGCAACGCGUAGAACCUUACCAAAUCUUGACAUCCUUUGACAACUCUAGAGAUAGAGCCAUCCCCUUCGGGGGACAAAGUGACAGGUGGUGCAUGGUUGUCGUCA